UCGCCUCAGCAGUGCACGUGCUAAAGCUGGAACAAGACAGAGAAGACCAGCAUGGCCCUUAGCCAAGGAUGACUUAGAAAUUGAUGAAGUACGUUCCAUUCUU
rnacentral:snRNA from 1 species